GGAAGCGUGGCCGAGUGGUUUAAGGCAACGGUCUUGAAAACCGUCGAUGGGCAACCAUCCUAGAGUUCGAAUCUCUACGCUUCCGCCA
rnacentral:tRNA from 1 species